rnacentral:rRNA from 1 species
GAUGAACGCUGGCGGCGUGCCUAAUACAUGCAAGUCGAGCGAACGGACGAGAAACUUGCUUCUCUGAUGUUAGCGGCGGACGGGUGAGUAACACGUGGAUAACCUACCUAUAAGACUGGGAUAACUUCGGGAAACCGGAGCUAAUACCGGAUAAUAUUUUGAACCGCAUGGUUCAAAAGUGAAAGACGGUCUUGCUGUCACUUAUAGAUGGAUCCGCGCUGCAUUAGCUAGUUGGUAAGGUAACGGCUUACCAAGGCAACGAUGCAUAGCCGACCUGAGAGGGUGAUCGGACACACUGGAUCUGAGACACGGUCCAGACUCCUACGGGAGGCAGCAGUAGGGAAUCUUCCGCAAUGGGCGAAAGCCUGACGGAGCAACGCCGCGUGAGUGAUGAAGGUUUUCGGUUCGUAAAACUCUGUUAUUAGGGAAGAACAUAUGUGUAAGUCACUGUGCACAUCUUGACGGUACCUAAACAGAAAGCCACGGCUACCUACGU